rnacentral:rRNA from 1 species
GAUGAACGCUGGCGGCGUGCCUAAUACAUGCAAGUCGAGCGAACAGACGAGGAGCCUGCUCCUCUGACGUUAGUGGCGGACGGGUGAGUAACACGUGGAUAACCUACCUAUAAGACUGGGAUAACUUCGGGAAACCGGAGCUAAUACCGGAUAAUAUAUUGAACCGCAUGGUUCAAUAGUGAAAGACGGUUUUGCUGUCACUUAUAGAUGGAUCCGCGCCGCAUUAGCUAGUUGGUAAGGUAACGGCUUACCAAGGCGACGAUGCGUAGCCGACCUGAGAGGGUGAUCGGCCACACUGGAACUGAGACACGGUCCAGACUCCUACGGGAGGCAGCAGUAGGGAAUCUUCCGCAAUGGGCGAAAGCCUGACGGAGCAACGCCGCGUGAGUGAUGAAGGUCUUCGGAUCGUAAAACUCUGUUAUUAGGGAAGAACAAAUGUGUAAGUAACUAUGCACGUCUUGACGGUACCUAAUCAGAAAGCCACGGCUAACUACGUG